rnacentral:rRNA from 1 species
UGGGGAAUAUUGCACAAUGGGCGCAAGCCUGAUGCAGCCAUGCCGCGUGUAUGAAGAAGGCCUUCGGGUUGUAAAGUACUUUCAGCGGGGAGGAAGGCGUUAAGGUUAAUAACCUUGGCGAUUGACGUUACCCGCAGAAGAAGCACCGGCUAACUCCGUGCCAGCAGCCGCGGUAAUACGGAGGGUGCAAGCGUUAAUCGGAAUUACUGGGCGUAAAGCGCACGCAGGCGGUCUGUCAAGUCGGAUGUGAAAUCCCCGGGCUCAACCUGGGAACUGCAUCUGAUACUGGCAAGCUUGAGUCUUGUAGAGGGGGGUAGAAUUCCAUGUGUAGCGGUGAAAUGCGUAGAGAUGUGGAGGAAUACCGGUGGCGAAGGCGGCCCCCUGGACAAAGACUGACGCUCAGGUGCGAAAGCGUGGGGAGCAAACAGG